ensembl:miRNA
AGAUUGUAUUAGGUUGGUGCAUAAGUAAUUGCGGUUUUUGCCAUUAUUUUUAAUGGCAAAAACCGCAAUUACUUUUGCACCAACCUAAUA